rfam:Aphanizomenon flos-aquae 2012/KM/D3 spades_40_len_T:32114, whole genome shotgun sequence.
GUCAGUAACCCAGCCCUAAAGGGACUGGGCUUGUAAGAGAAAUCAAGCAAGCCGUACUGACCAGACCUCCCUGAGUUUACUCUCAUGGUAGCCGUUAUUUGAGUCACGACACCCCGGAAUGCGAAGCCCCUUCGGGGUUCAGCAGUCGCUCAUGGGAGAAACCCCCAAGACCGCGCUGCUUCACUAGUUCCCUGCUCUGUCAUUUGCAAUUAAACAGUUUUAAGGUAACAGAAACAGUGUUGCAAGUCUAAAAAGCUCUGAUAACUGGUCGUUCGCGCAGCGUGCCGUAGGCAUCAGCUAACAUUAC